CCUGGACCAUUCCGGAAUUUUGAAUGGUCCAUUAUUUGUUAACAUUCUUUCAGGCUCCACCUACUUAAACUCUUCCCUUUCAGUCUCAAUUUGAAAACUUGCUUUCUAGGUUAACUAAAUUACUAUGUUGUGCCCUUGAUCAGCAUUCUGCACAAACACUGUAUGUUCUUGUUCUUGUUAAUCUAGUUUACAGGCAAAAUAUAAUCUAAUUACAUAAAUAGCUGAAGGAAGUAUUUUCAGUAUUUCCUGCUGAUUGGGUAAUUCACGAAUUACUAAGAAUUUCUUUGGUUGAACAUUUCAAGACUUAAAAGUUACAAUAAUUUCAGUUAUUGUUUUUUCCUUAAGGAUUAUUUGCUUAGCAGAAAAACUGGAAAACAGGGCUUACUAUGAGAUGUCAGAACCAGUCCUGCAAUCCCGAGACACCUUCGCAGCCGCAUUUUACUUCUGUUUUUGCAACAGGAAUGGAAGGUGAAAAGUAGGAGAAAACAAAAAUAAAAGACCAUUCAUUCUAAAGGAAGCAAAAUAGGUAGAGUAAGAUAUUUUUCCUUUCUUUAAAAAAAAAAAAAAGAAAAGAAAAGAAAGAAAUGUGGAGCAAGGGACAUAUGAGAAGUUUCCAAGAGAGUAACUUGUGAUACAGAAUGCCUAUAAGAGGAGGAGCUGUCUAAUGAAAGUGCAGAAUCUCCAGUGCCAUGAAUAUUGGAGUGACAUAUACCCAGCAGCUCCAUCCUGUAGGGCCACCUCCAGAAGCUGAAGAUGAAAGAGUAAUGGAAAAGCAGACCACUAUCCUCCUCUCAUUCUCUCUCUCCUAAGCCACAUGUUAUGCCAACAGAGGACAGAAAAGCUUUGAAUCCAGUAUAAAAUUGCAACGCUAAAUUCGACUGAUAAGAAAGUUAUGGAAUCCACUCGAGACAAUUUUAAGUGUCUGUGACAGAACAUAUAUAUGGCCCAUUGAAGAACAAUGAGUAGAAUAAAUGCAAAACGUGUCAUGUUUAUACCCUAUUGAGACAGACAUCUCAAUAAACUGAUUAUAAAAUUAUAACAAGCUAACACUAAAAUCAUGUGCCUUUCAAAAAUUAUUUUCCUGUGAUUCUUAUAACAUAAAGUA
rnacentral:lncRNA from 1 species